rnacentral:rRNA from 1 species
GACGAACGCUGGCGGCGUGCUUAACACAUGCAAGUCGAACGGUGAAGCGCCUUCCUUUUUGGUGGGUGUGGAUGAGUGGCGAACGGGUGAGUAACACGUGAGUAACCUACCCCCUUCUUCUGGAUAACCGCAUGAAAGUGUGGCUAAUACGGGAUAUUCUGGGUCUGUCGCAUGAUGGGUCUGGGAAAGAUAUUGUUUCGGUGGGGGAUGGGCUCGCGGCCUAUCAGCUUGUUGGUGGGGUGAUGGCCUACCAAGGCGGUGACGGGUAGCCGGCCUGAGAGGGUGGACGGUCACACUGGGACUGAGACACGGCCCAGACUCCGACGGGAGGCAGCAGUGGGGAAUAUUGCACAAUGGGCGCAAGCCUGAUGCAGCGACGCCGCGUGAGGGAUGGAGGCCUUCGGGUUGUGAACCUCUUUCGCCAGUGAAGCAGGCCUGCCUCGUUUGUGGGUGGGUUGACGGUAGCUGGAUAAGAAGCGCCGGCUAACUACGUG